ensembl:lncRNA
GAAACCAAUGAGGUGGAAAUUAAGGCAUCAGCUGUCCACCUAAAAGUUGAAUAUGCGCAAAACGACGGACUUCUCAUCAGCGCCAACAGCUCACAUUACAUAGGCUGCAACAGCACCCUGGGCGACGACGGCACCCGCGACGGCACCCUGGGCGACGAUGGCAGCAAGGGAACUCUGGCAGACGCCUACGCAGGCAACAGCACCCUGGGCGACGACGGCAACGUGACUUUGGCUGAUGUCUACACGGGCAACAGCACCCUGGGCGACGACGGCAACGUGACUUUGGCUGACGUCUACAAGGUCAACGGCACCCUGGGCGACGACGGCACCCACAACGUAACGUUGGACGACAUCUACACUGACAACGGCACCCUGGCCGACGAUCGCAGCACGGGCAACGGAACUUUGGCAGAUGGCAACGACACCCUGUCCGACGUCUACACCCGCAACGGCACCCUGGGCGACGAUGGCAGCAAUGGUACUUUGGCUGACGUCUACGCGGGCAACGGCACCCUGGGCGACGACGGCAACGAGACUUUGGCUGACGUCUACGCGGGCAACGGCACCCUGGGCGACGACGGCAGCAAUGGAACUUUGGCAGAUGCCGACGCAGGCAACGGCACCCUGAGCGACGACGGCAACGUGACCCUAGCUGACGUCUACACGGGCAACGGAACUUUGGCUGACGGCUACACGGGCAACGGCACCCUGGGCGACGACGGCAGCAAUGGAACUUUGGCUGACGUCUACACUGGCAACGGCACCCUGGGCGACGACGGCAGCAAUGGAACUUUGGCUGACGGCUACACGGGCAACGGCAACCUGGCCGACGUCGACACGGGCAACGGAACUUUGGCAGAUGGCAAUGACACCCUGGGCGACGUCUACACCCGCAACGGCACCCUGGCCGACGAUGGCACCCUGGCCGACAAUGGCAGCAAUGGUACUUUGGCAGAUGGCUACUCAGGCAACGGCACCCUGGGCGACGACGGCAAUGUGACUUUUGCUGACGUCUACACUGGCAACGGCACCCUGGGCGACGACGGCAGCAAUGGAACUUUGGCUGACGGCUACACGGGCAACGGCAACCUGGCCGACGUCGACACGGGCAACGGAACUUUGGCAGAUGGCAAUGACACCCUGGGCGACGUCUACACCCGCAACGGCACCCUGGCCGACGAUGGCACCCUGGCCGACAAUGGCAGCAAUGGUACUUUGGCAGAUGGCUACUCAGGCAACGGCACCCUGGGCGACGACCACAAUGUAACUUUGGCCGACAUCUACACUGGCAAUGGCACCCUGGGCGACGACGGCAACUUAACUCUGACCGACGGCUACACGGGCACCUCGGACCUCGUCGCCUAGAAACAGUUUUUGGGACAGUGCAUUAGUUAAGAUGUUUUUGCUUGUACCUACUUAUCUCUGCUUUCAAUAAAACUAUUGCCUUAACUUGUUGUGUCAAUUCUCUGGGGUUGUGGUCAAAAAUGGAUAUUUAACCAUGAUCCAUAGACACCUGUGAGGCAAGCACUGACUCUAGGGACCUGAAAUUGUAUAAAAGUUGUGUCCCAGGAUGUCUAGACCUAUAGCAGCUCAUCUAAGGGCCUGCCUGAGCCAGCUCUAAAUAGAAGUUAUCAAAGCAGUGUUCACGGUAGUCUUCAAUGAGGGCACUUUGUGGCGCCCACACCAGGUUGAAAGUGGGAGCUGGUUUCAGAGAAUAUGCACUUAAACGCAAAAGCUUCCCAUGCUGCGUUCAGACCUUUAUGGAGUGUUUUGGUCUAGUAGGCUAGUAUGGUACUGAAAGCCCCUUAACAAAAUCGCUUGCCUUGUAGCUAAAGUUGUGUUUAACCCAGAGCCAGUGCAGUCCCUCAAGUC